GGGAUGGGGUGACUAGUGACAGAGUGAGGAAGGGGGUGACUAGGGACAGAGGGGGUGACUAGUGACAGAGUGAGGGGGUGACUAGUGACAGUCACCCCUUCCCUCUCUCUGUCACUAGUCACUCCCUCCCUCUGUCACCAGUCACUCCCUCCCUCUGUCACCAGUCACUCCCUCCCUCUGUCACCAGUCACCUCUUCCCUCCCUCACUUUGCCACUAGUCAUCUCUUCCCUCCC